rnacentral:rRNA from 1 species
GGGGAAUUUUGGACAAUGGGCGCAAGCCUGAUCCAGCCAUGCCGCGUGCGGGAAGAAGGCCUUCGGGUUGUAAACCGCUUUUGUCAGGGAAGAAACGGUCUGGGCUAAUACCCUGGACUAAUGACGGUACCUGAAGAAUAAGCACCGGCUAACUACGUGCCAGCAGCCGCGGUAAUACGUAGGGUGCAAGCGUUAAUCGGAAUUACUGGGCGUAAAGCGUGCGCAGGCGGCUUUGCAAGACAGAUGUGAAAUCCCCGGGCUCAACCUGGGAACUGCAUUUGUGACUGCAUGGCUAGAGUGCGGCAGAGGGGGAUGGAAUUCCGCGUGUAGCAGUGAAAUGCAUAGAUAUGCGGAGGAACACCGAUGGCGAAGGCAAUCCCCUGGGCCUGCACUGACGCUCAUGCACGAAAGCGUGGGGAGCAAACA